rnacentral:lncRNA from 10 species
AGUUUUGACUUUUCUAUUUCAUUUUCAGCAAACCAUAAAAUCUCAAUGUCUAAGGAUUUCACCUUCAAGGUUGAUAUCAUAUACAAGCAUAAAUUUGAGCUCACUGGGCUGAAGGUCUGAUGUGCAAAAGAGAAUCUCUCAGAUGGAAUACAAGAUUAGUUGACUGAACACUGAAUAUUUGGAGACUAACACAGGUCCAGGUGUGCUUCAUGGUAUGCAGCCAAGAUGGCAUGGAAGCUACCAUCUGGAAACACAGCUCGAUUUUCCCAAGACAGGCUUCCUCUACAGACAAAUACUUCUUCUUGAGUUCCUGAGGCCUUUUCUUUCCUGGACACUUCUGGCAUGUGAAGUCUGGAACCCAUCU